CGCAGUUCUUUCAAAUAAUAUGUUCGUCACCAAGUACAUCUUUUGCCCAGCAGGAACCUGGUCAAAUCGCUUUUCCCAAAAAAGCUGGUUUGGCAUCAGACCAAUUUUAUACUCGCCCUGGAACAUGAUAAGUCUCAAGAUUGGCUCCUGUGCAAAAUUCACUGCCCGGGCCUAAUUGAGCUCCGCCAAACCAACCUAUGCUGCCUUGAUGUUCGGCACACGAAUUCGUCAGCUUCGUGCCAUUGGACUUGUACAUGGAAUCAAUGGCCUCGGACACGCCUCCCACAGGGACGUACCCGCCCAACUCCAAAGUCUCCGUUGACGAAAUAUCGAUGGAUGAAUACCUGGCUUGAGCGAAUAUGCCAUCAACAUCCUUCAUUUGAAACCGGACUUCGUAAGGUUCGGAUUGGAACAACCUUAAAAAACAUAAAUGAGGUUAUUUUAGAAAAAUGACUAAAAAUGAUGGUUUUUGGUAAUCGUAUUGGCUAUAUUUUUUAUAUUCGGGACAUUAGGGUCGUAGGGUCGAGCCACAUUGUCCAAUAUUUCCGAUAGGUUGUGUGAAAGACAAAUGGUUUAUGUGGUUGUGGCUUUUGUAGUAUCUAAAGUUACCUUGAGUAAGGUCUGGGAGGAUAAUCGAACUGGGAACCUCCCUUAUGCUAGAACAUUGCAUUGGCGUUUUCCCCCAAAACGUCCCGGCUCUAAGAAAUAACUUUUUUCUUUAACUGUUUAUUAAUUUUGUAGCAUAAUUCCUUACCAACCUAUCUUUUUCUUGAUCAUUUUGGUGUAUUAGAUAGUAAAUGAGAAUAAAAUGAAUUCAAAAUGACAAGCUGUUUAUCUAGUACUACUAGGAAAUUCGAAAAAGCAAACAACAUAGAUUAACCUUUUUAACUUUCCUUCAUGGCAAAAUAUUUUGCCAAAAUUGUAUACCAUUCCACAAAUCAUCUGAUUCGAAAGGUAUAAAUGGGAAUUGGGUGCCUAAAUCUUACUUACGCUUUAAUUCUGGUCAGCCCUAACCAGAAAUCUUCCGGGCCCAUCACAUUAUAAUUUUCGAAAUUGGUAGUGCUCGAAACGGAUGUCUGUAUUGAAAGAGGGCCACAUUUCAACGAGUAAAACAAAUCGAGUCAUUUCUAAUGGAUUUACCAAUGACACAUUAUCCCGGUUAAGAAUGGUGGUCCAACCAUCCUCACAUUUCACUCUCCGUUUGGUGAUUUCAUCCAUGGUGCCAAAGGGUUGAAUAUCGAAGUCUCCUUGGUGUAGGAUGCCAAACCGGUAAAUUUCCGCACAGUCUUUGAAAGGUGGCAAGAGGUCUGUAAUAUAUCGGCAACUACAUUAAUUCCCCGAUCGAAUUGUCGGGUCCAUUGUGAAAGCAAAACCUCACCCAAGUUCGUGAAAUGAGGGACAAUUUCAGCAAUAUCCAAGUUUGCCGCUGAUUGUGUGUCUACGAUAUACACGUAACGCCUAUGGCGAGGACCCGAGAUUUUCCAUGUGGUCACCACGGGACUGGUCUUCAUGAAAUUGUUGCCAAUGGAGUCCCUGGGGCUAAUAUUUGACGGAUCAGCAUAUGUGACAUCGGUCAGGUACAACUGCCAGGAGUGAGUGGAUGAGAAGCGUGUAUUCAAAAUGGUCACCCCGUCCAAGUAGCGAUGCUCUCCCAUGUCAAUUUGAACCCAAGGUUGGUCCAUGGUGGUGGUUUGUAUUGCUGUGCGGAUCGUCCCAUCUAUGAGCCAGGCCAAGUUGUCCGUUGUUGUCACGCCGUGUAGAGUGAUGUCAAAUCCAGUGAUGUCGUAAUAGGCCCCUAAAAUGGAUCGUGUGAAGCCUUCAUGUCGUUAAUUUUCCUCGAAAGAGAAUUGUUUUUGGGCUAUAUGCACUGUUGAUGACCAAUAAAAAAAAAUAAAAGUCUGGUAUGCAACCCAAGGCCUAGAUUAGCACCAUUCAGUGUGAAAUGGACACUUUAUGGGGGGUUUUAGAUUAAUAUUUUUCCUGACAAAUACGCAUACAGGAAGACCGAUGUAUACCAUUUGAAUCUUA